UUCUUGCUGCCACUACGUGCACACACAUACAUGCAUGUGUACACACAUGCACACACAUACACGCAAUCUCCCUAACCCCAGAUGAGCAGGAGGAGAAAGAGGAGGAGGAGGAGGAAGAGGAGAAAAGGAACAGAAUAUUGGAACCCCAGAGGUGGGAAGGACUUCAGAAAUCAAAGUGUUCAAACUCCUGUGUGGUGGGAAAACCAAGGCCCAGGGAAGUAAAGGUGGAGGCGGGACUGGAGUCCAAUUUUCUUAAGAGUUCAAUGCGAUUGUCUUUUACCUAGUGAGAGGAAGACAAGGGGAAGGAGGUGAGGAGUCUACUGUGACCCUAGCAAAGUGGCCACCACCUCAUGUACUCCCAUUCCAACCUACCGAGAUGUUGCUUUCUCUUUUUAUAUAGUGUAGGAAACUGAGGCUGGGGAAGACAUCAUCAUUUAUUCCAAGGAACUAGGCAGGGCCAUCUCUGAAAAGGCAGAGCCAGAAUUCACAUCUUCUGGUGCCUGACCCAUACUUCCUAUUCUGUACUGUGACAGAUGAAAUGGUUGUGUUCAGGAGGCCUUCCCUGAAAAAGAUACAGUGCUCCCUGGGUCCAGGGAAGACCAUCUCUGGGACUCAGGCAGCCUAGAUUUCAGUCCCAGCUCCACCUCUCACUGAACUACAGAUGCCCUUGGGCAGGUUGCUAAAUAUCUCUGGGCCUGGGUGUCCUCAUCAGUGUGACCUGUGCCCUGCCUGCCUCACACCACCAAUGAGGCUAAGAUGUGCUCCUGAGAACCUCUGCAAACCCUGAGCUACUGAAUGUUCUUGGGGUUAACACAAAGAAACCAACAUCGACCACCAUCUAGCCAAGGGGCCCAGAUGCCACGCACUUAGAUAUCUGCUCACAUGGUCCUUCCAAAGUAGCUGCAUUUGGAAUAUUUCAGUCUUACAAAUAUUACUCUGCAUGCAUCUGCUGUAGGGCCCAGACUGGAGCAGCAGGAAAACAGAUCUCACUGGCCCUGUCCCACACCCCAUCCCCAGCUCUCACUGGCCCUGUCCCACACCCUAUCCCCAGCGUCUUAUAAGGAUCCCAAGGCUGGGUGUGAGGACCAGAUCCUCUUUUUUCCCCUUUUGGUGGAAAGAAAAGUGAGAGGCAGGGUCCUAGGCCUUCUCUCCCCAGUUCUCCUAUCCCAGAACAUCAGGCACUGGCCAGGCUGAGCCCCGAGGAGAGGGAUAUUGAUCUGGGAGAGAGGUCAGCGUAGUCCCCAGCUGGAUCAGGGCUCUGUGGGAUCUAGCACCUGUUAGGAUUAGAUACCAGAGGAAGAGUCCUUCAUAUACACAUUUAAAGGCAAGUUUAUCAGACGAACAGGGAUGCAGGAGGGGCAGCAUUAGAAACAUCAGGAAAAUGUGGUGGACCAGGUGCCCGGUGGUCCCUGGGGGUGAGCUGGAUACAGGGGCAGUGGGAAAUGAGGCUGGCAGAUCUCUGGGUGUUAAUCAGGGAGCAGGGAAGGAGUGGUCUGAGCUUAGGCCCCUGAGCACACCAUAGUGAGGGCUUUGGAUCCGGAUGACUCUUCCAGAGAAGGGAAAAGGAAUGUCGCAGGGAGAAGACAGCUGAGUCUUGUACUUCUUUCUAUGCUCCCCACAAGGAGCCCCCUCACCCAGCCCUUGGGGUUUGCUAUAGUUUGGAUGCUUGUAUUGCUUCCAAAAUUCAUGUUGAAACUGAAUCCCCAAUGCAACAGUACUAAGAGGUAGGGCCUUUAGGAGUGAUUAGCCCGUGAGGGCUUCUCCCUCAUGGGUGGGAUCAGUACCUUAUAAAAGGGCUAAGGGAACUAGCCAGGCCCUUUUGCCUUUUUACCUUCUGCCAUGUGAGGACACAGCCACAACGUGCCGUCUUGGAGGCAUAGACUGGGCCCUCACCAGACACCAAACCUGCUGGGGCUUUGAUCUUGGACUUCCAGCCUCCAGAAUUGUGAGAAAUAAAUUCCAGUACUUUAUAAAUUACCUGGUCUUAGGUGUUUUGCUGUAGCAGUAGGGAUGGACUAAGACAGUGUUCUGCUGCCUGCAUGCUCUGUCUUCCCAUCCACCUCACAGAUACAUGAGGCUGACCCCCAACCCCUGCACACUUACCUAAUCCAAAACUAGCAGGUUUGGGUUUAUAGUAGCCUCUCCUCAAAUGCAUCUAAGACUUAUCUGUAAGCUAACCAGGCACAUUAGCAGCCCAGAGACCAACAGAGCAUGAGGAAGGGAGCAAAAAAGGCUUUGAAACAGCCAGAAUAGACAUUCUAAAACUCAUGCCCAAAACCUAAAUCUUUGACUUAUCAGUGAGCCUUGUGACCCCACUCAGAGACUGUUUAUUUUUGUUUUAGCCAGAGUCUUGUUAUUCAUAUCCCAACUCACAACAAAUUAGAAGAGAGGGGGCAAAGCUACACAGGGACAGCAAGGAGAAUGGCAGCUGAUGGGUUGAAGGUGCAUGAGAGGUCAUUAAACCUGGGAAGACCAGGAAAGACAAUGUAAAAGAUGACUAAAUCGGGGCAAACAGACCUAUAAAACUGGGUAGAUCAACUCUCAACAAAGGGCAUUCUUGAGUAGCAGCCAAGAUUCACACACAUACAGAUGACCCAGAGUCAUCAAGGAAAGAUGACUGUGGUCAUUAUGAGUUUUCUAUUUAGAAGGCAUGGAGUAUGAAACCCAGGCAGGAAGAGUUUCAUGCAAAAUGGUCAAACAUUUUAGGCAGGUGUUGGCAUUCAAAGCUGAGGUCUCAAUUAUCCAGAAUAUUCUCUCAGAGCAUUUCCGAGAGUGAAGGAUGUCCUCAUGCUGUCAGUCCUACAUGAAGUGAGGCCUGUCCUAUCCCUGACCCUGUUCAGGGAGCACACACGUCUUUAGUUGUUCAUGCCUUGUGGGGAAUACAGACAGUCAAAAGACCGGUGCUUUUGACACAAAAUAGGUCACUUUUGUCCACCCCUUUCUUCCUUUUAGCUGGAUAGCCCAGAGGAAGGAUCAAUGAAGUCCUUUGUUGGAGAGACUGAGAAAGCUUUAUGGGAAGGGGAAUGGUUUCAGCCAUGCAUAAACAAGUAUAGAAAUAUAACAGGCCAAUAAAUGGAAGUUGCCACUGAGGCACAAAGACAUACUACACAUAAGAAGAACAAAGUUGGAGGUUUCAUGCAUCCUGAUUUCAAAACUCACUACAAAGCUACAGUAGUGAAAGCAGUGUGGUACUGGCAUAAAGACAAUCAUAUAAACCAAUGGAAUAGAACAGAGAGCCCAGAAAUAAAGUCUCACAGUUACAGUCAAAUGAUUCUUGACAAGAGUGUGAAGACCACUCAGUGGGAAAAUGACAGCAUUUUCAACAAAUGAUGCUGAGAAAAUGGAAUAUUCCUAUGCCAAAGAAAGAAGCUGGAUCCUUACAUUGUACCAUAUAUGAAAAUUAACUCAAGAUGGAUUGAAGACUUAAAUGCAAGAGCUAAGAAAAUAAAGCUCUUAGAAGAAAACAUAGGGUAAAAUCUUCAUGUUGUUGGACUUGGAGAUAAUUUCUUGGUGAUGAUGCCAAAAUCACAGGCAAUAAAGGAAAAAAUAAAUAAACUGAACUUCAUCAAAAUUAAAAACUUCUGAGCAUCAAAGGACACUAUCAACAGAGUGAAAAGGCAACCGAUGGAAUGGGAGAAAAUAUUUACAAAUCAUACAUCUGAUAAGGGAUUAGUACCUAUAAUAUAUGAAGAAUUCCAGUAAAUCAACACAAAUGAAACUAACAACCCUACUCAAAAAUAAGCAAAGGAGUUGAAUAGACAAUUCUCCAAAGAAGUUAUACAGGUGGCCAAAAUGCAUAUGAAAAGAUGUUCAACACCACUAAUCAUUUAUCAUUGUGAUACAAUAUUACUUUUGGAUGACUAUUUGUAUUGACAUACAAAUAUUACAUUUGGAUGACUAUUAUCAAUAAAACAGAAAAUAACAAGUAUUAGUGAGGAUGUGGAGACAGUGGAAACCUUGUGCAUCACGGUUAGAAAUAUAGGAUGGUGCAGCCUGCAUGGAAAACAGUAUGGUAGUUCCUCAAAAGAUUAAAAAUAGAGUUACUAUGACCUAGCAAUUUCACUUUUGGGCAUAUAUCCAAAAGAAUUGAAAACAGAGAUUCAAAGAAAUAUUUGUACACCCAUGUUCAUAGCAGCAUUAAUUUUAACGGCCAAAAGAUGCAAACAACCCAAAUGUCCAUCAACAAAUGAAGGGAUAAAUAAAAUGUAGUCAAAACAUUUAAUGGAAUAUCAUUCAGCCUUAAUAAGGAAUUCAGGGCUGACACAUACUACAACAGAGAUGAACCUUGACAUUAUGCUCAAUGAAAGAGAAUUUUUGAGUGGCAAGAAACAAAUACAUAAGAAAAGAAAUAGAGAGUUCACUAGAUUAAAAGCUCACAUUGAAACCCUCACCUCUCAUAAGCAACAGUCCUUGAUCAUUGAUGCCCAGUCUUGCUGCCUUUUUUCCUUAGAGCCUGUAGCUAGGGCUGUCAUAAUAAGGACCACAAACUGGGUGACUUAAGCAACAGAAACAACAUUCUUGGCUGCCAUUCAAGAAUGCCCUUUGUUGAGAGCUGAUCUACCCUAUAUGAAUGGAACCAUAUAGCAUUUGUCCUUGACCCAAAUGCUGUAUGGUUCCAUUCAUAUAGGGUGCCUAGAGUCGUCAAAAUCAUAGACACAGAAGGUAGAAUAGUGGCUGCCAAGGUUUGGAGGAGGAGGGCUUAGGAGUUGUUGUUUAAUGGGUACAAAGUUUCAAUUUGAGAAGAUGAAAAGAGUUAUGGAGAUAGAUGGUGGUAAUGAUUGCUCAACACAGUGAGAGUACUUAAUAUUACUGAACUCUGUUCUGAAAAAUGGUAAGUUAUACAUUAUAUAUAUUUAACCACAAUAAAAUGUAUAGGAAAAAAAGACAUAAUAUACAUACAAAUUACAAAAUAAAGAGCAGAUUUGAAAAGGAAAUACUAAGAACUGAAUUUGCAAUUCCAAAGACUCUAUAAGGGGGAUACAAAAAGAUUUUGUAAACAUUUAUUUAGACAAAUCUUUGUUGCAUUUUCCUAAUGAUGGGGGAAGGGGUUUGGGGCAAGCAGCCUUGAGCUUGCCCCUUGCCCCAAGUGUAGUUUCGGGUUCAGGAGCGUUGGCAGGGAAACGUGGAGAGCUGGGAGGCAUGCCCCUCAGUUGGGGCACCGUGGACCAGGGUCGGACUCAAGUCAAAAAUACAUAAAGGGCAAGAGCCUCUGGCUUCCUCGCUGCUUCUCACUCACUUCCUUCCCACUUGAGAACUGUUAAGUCUGGCGUCCAGGAGCUGUGGUUCGAGGAGGGAGGAGGAGUUGUAGGGAGCAGGAAUGUUUUGACUUGAGUAGGAUGCUCCUAAGAAGGCUCUGGCUCUUGGGCCUGAACAGCAGAAGGCUGACUCUUCUCUGUGGAUGUUCUGGUGGAGUAUGCAGGUGGGGGUAGUUGGGAGUCGUUGGUUUGGGAUUGGCCUGCCCCCUAGGGGUUGGGCAAAGAUUGUGGGAGUGUUUCUUUAGCAUGUGUUUAUGUGAACUAGAUGUUGGCCACGUACAUGAAAAAGAUAGUGUUGAGAUCUUCCAUCCUGUUCCAUAUGCUCCCUAGGGGGAUUGGGUCCUCAGCUGACAGGAUCUGGAAGUGAACUGCUGGAAGUGUGGAGGCUGUGGAAGAACUGAAGUGGCCCACGGCUUAGGGAUGCAGUGCUUAGUGAAGAGUGCACAGGGAAGGUUCCCAGGCUGGGGGAAUCCUUCAUACUCUACCAGGGCAUCCACAGGGAAGAUGCCUUAUGCUUGAUCCAGGCCCAUGAGCCUGAGCCUUCGUAAGAGCAUCCUACUAAAGGCAGAACUUCCGUGCUCCCUACAACUCCUCCUCCCUCCUCAAAUGGCUGCUCCCAGGGGUCAGACUUAGCAGUUCUCGAGUGAGGAGGAAGAGAGUGAGAAACAUGACAAGCUGGAUACAUUCCCUUUUCCCAAGGUGGGUAGGCCCUGCAGCAGCCCUAGCUGGGGGUGGGAACUGCAGGGAGGAGAAGUCUUACAUUUGCAUGAAGACUGAAGUGUUGCAUAAUCUAUGGCCUUGGGCAUUACAAUAUCCAAAUUGAGACUGUGUUUUCAGACUAAAAGUGGUAGCAGGGAUUUCUAUGGCUUAAUUGUAACCAGAAGACAAGGGAAGGAUUAUACCCAUUGAACAAGUUGCUUAAGUCAGUUGAUUAAGAAAAUUGCUUUUAGGAUUACGUGCCCUGAGUCCACUUUACUCCAUCUACAGUUCACAGUAAGUGGAGGGUCAGGCCCCUACUUAUAGAUCCGUAGCUCCUGUCUCCCAUAGGCUUUAGGCUGUGCCCUCACUGAAGAUUCUGGAAACCAGAGUCUUGCUUGGAAUCUCAGAGCCAGCUAAUCCCACUAGCUUCACAGCCUUAUCUUCUGACCACACUUAUGUAUGAGUUCCUGUGCAAAGCUCAACUCUCUCAUCUUCCUGCCCUCAUGGGGCUGUGUUUGCCCUGCCCCAUCCAGCUUCCCAUUGCCCCUCCUUCUCCAUGCUGCAGGGCCCAUGUAAACCAACACCUCUCUGUUCUCAAGCUUUCCAUCGGCUGACUGUCCACCAACUGUCAUGGUGACUAGGUUGUCCUGCAGGCACCUUCUUCCUUGGCAGCUUCUCCCAAAGAGGCUCUUCCCUCUCCAUGCCCCCUGGGGUUUGGGUCAGAAUUCUCCUGUGCUUCCUGGCUGCUCAACUGAACUCCAUGCAGUUCCUAGAGGGGCACACCCUCCCUCACCUUCAGCUCUCUGAGCGCUGUUUCCUCAGAAGCACGGACUCCUAGCCUGGGAAAAUCCACAGCCCCAGUGUACUCCCCAUUUAUCUCUCUGAAUGUGAUUAUUGACUUGGGGUGCAUCUGCCUUAGAUGUGAGCCCCUUGAGGGUGGGGACCUUGGUAUCUUACUUGUGUUUAUGCCUACAGUGACUGGAGCAAGUCAGUGAAUGUAGGUGGUGACUGGCGUUUCAGAAAAUCCCUCUUGGGGCCAGCAUGGGGGUGGAUAAGAAGGAGGUAGCUGAUGCAGUACUUUAGGCAGAGACGGGUGCUGAGCUGAGUGGGUGGAGAGGAGUGUCCUGGCUGUUCUUACUGAACUGGAAGCAUGCAGACCGGUGUGGCUUCCCCCACAAUUCUUCCCACCUGGGGUCCUGCCCCCACCCCUUAGUGCUCCUUCUCCUCACUCAGCUCCCAGUUCCUAUGAGUGCUCACUGAGUGCCUGCAGCCCUGAGUGAGAAGCAGCCUUGAGUUUGUUCCACUCCCAAAGGGACUGACAUUGUUUCUAGGCUAGGUCAGUUGGCAGGCCUUUGGCUGAGGAAAUGCAGCACUGUGGCAAGCCCUGAAGCAUAGAGCAUUAUGGGCUGAGGAUACCAAAUGGUCUUCAGCCUGGAACCCUCGAGCUGCCCCACAGAAUCACAGUAUUACAUACAGAAAAUAAGCCCCUUUUAUGCGGCUGCCUGGGUGUUUCUCUGUCUCCUUCCAGCAUUCCCCACCCCAAGGAAAAUCCUGGGCAUGUUCCAUGUGCCUCUGGCUGGCUUCCACCCUGGGCACCGCAAGCUCUUCCUGAAAAACCACUCUCAGCCAGUCUUCCUGCUGACAACUUCCCUUGCCAGAACAGUGAGGGGUAAGGAGGCUGAUGAUUACCAGUUUGUGCCAGAAUUAUUGGGUAGGUCACAUCCCAAAUAUGAUCUACAUUGUUUUACUAACUGUGUGAGCUGGCUUUAUGAAUCCCAUUUUUAGGUGAGGAAAUGAGGCUUAUUGUCAGGUCUCUGAGCCUAAGCUAAGCCAUCAUAUCCCCUGUGACCUGCAUGUACACAUCCAGAUGGCCGGUUCCUGCCUUAACUGAUGACAUUCCACCAUAAAAGAAGUGAAAAUGGCCUGUUCCUGCCUUAACUGACGACAUUGUCUUGUGAAAUUCCUUCUCCUUGCUCAUCCUGGCUCAAAAGCCCCCCUACUGAGCACCUUGUGACCUCCACUCUGCCCGCCAGAGAACAAUCCCCCUUUGACUGUAAUUUUCCUUUAUUUACCUAAAUUCUAUAAAACGGCCCCACCCUUAUCUCCCUUCACUGACUCUCUUUUCGGACUCAGCCCACCUGCACCCAGGUGAAAUAAACAGCUUUAUUGCUCACACAAAGCCUGUUUGGUAGUCUCUUCACACAGAUGCGAGUGAAAUUUGGUGCCGUGACUCAGAUCUGGGGACCUCCCUUAGGAGAUCAAUCCCCUGUCCUCCUGCUCUUUGCUCCGUGAGAAAGGUCCACCUACGACCUCAGGUCCUCAGACCGACCAGCCCAAGAAACAUCUCACCAAUUUCAAAUCCAGACCCCACUGGAAAUCGGAUGGAAAUCGGACUGUUCAACUCACCUGGCAGCCACUCCCAGAGCCCCUGGAACUCUGGCGCAAGGCUCUCUGACUGACUCCUUCCCAGAUCUUCCCGGCUUAGCGGCUGAAGACUGACGCUGCCCGAUCACCUCGGAAGCCCGGUAUUCCAUCACGGACGCCGAGCUUUAGCGCAUCAAGCUCCAGAUGAUUCUCAGUGAGGGAUACCAUCCUGUCAAUAUUCAAAAGUCACCCUUCUACCGAGGACUCUUUGACCAGCCAUCAGAGGGACACAGCAGAAGUGAAAUCCCACCCCUGUCUCCCUUGGCCCUGACUGGAUACCACUUUCACUAACUCACAGAGCCACACUGUUCUGAGAGCUACCAAGAAGCCAAGGCCCAUAGAACAAGCACCACCACCUCCUCAUCAGUAGGAAACAGUUUCAGAAGACUGACCUUUGUCCAUUUUCCCAAAGAAUUGGGUCUUGAAUUCUUGAGGGGGAAAAUGUUAGAGUAGGUAGUUAGGCAGGUAUGAGCAAGGAAAGAGAGGUCCCCCUCCCCAGGAAUGUCAGGCAACCAUCGGGUGAUGGUCAUGUGGUUGUUCAACUGUCUCUCUAAGAUAAUAAUUUAUCAUGGCUGGUGACAGGAAAAGAGAGUCUCCCAAUAAAUAGGAAACACCUAAAGCUGCUGAUGAGCAGCUUCCUGAUAAGAUUUAAGGAGUUUGGCACGUGCUUAAGCAUGUGCACUGAGGCAAAAUGAUGGAGUUCAAUUGGUGUAUGACCACCCUCUAAAAAUACUAGAAGAACGCUAGAAGGAAAAAUGCCUCAAAUGAGCAUGCACAUAACUUCAGUAAACACACAGUGCAUGCAACCCCUCCCAAUUGCUGGCAAGCCACUGCACAUAUAGACAGUCCCUCCCCCCAGGGGAAGAAUUGGGGAGAAGAUUAAAAAAUGCUAGAAGCAUGCCAACAUAUAAAAUUCCAAGUCAAAGGUCAAACAGUGCACUCGCAUCUCUCACAUCACCCACUUGGCCCUCUUCCAAAUGUACUUUAUUUCCUUUUGUUCCUGCUCUAAUAAUUUUUAGUAAACUUUCACUACUGCUCUAAAACUUGCCUUGGCCUUUCAUUCUGCUUUAUGCCCCUCAGACAUACAGUUUUUCACUAUUAAGAAUAAUGUUAUAUGUAGAUUUUUGUAGAUGCACUUUCUCAGCUUGAAGUUCUCCUUAACUCUAAGCUUCCUAGGAGAUUUUUUAAACCAUCAAUUUAUUUUUAAUUUUGAAAAAUACUUUUUCCUACAUCUCUUGAUAUUAUCAUAGUUUUUCAUCUUUCAUUCAAUAGUGGAGUACAUAUUGAUUGGCUUGUAAUGUUGAACCAGCCUUGGGCUCCUAGGAUUCACCUCACUUGGUUGCGAUGUAUUAUCCUUUCUACACGUUGUUAGAUUCACUAAUAUUUUGUUGAUAAGUUUCGCAUCUAUGUUCAUAAGGUACCUUGAUCUGUAGUGUUUCUUUUGGUAACGAAUUUGUCUGAUUUUAAUAUCAGAACAAUUCUGGUCUCAUAAAAAUUAUAAAGUAUUCAUUUUUAUAUUAUGGAAGAGAUUGUAUAAAAUUGAUGUAAUUUCUUUCUUAAAUGCUUGAUAGGCUUUGCCAGUGAAGCCAUUUGGACCGUGGCCUAUUUUUGUUUCCUGGAAAGUUUUUAGCUACAGAUUAUUUUGUUUAGUAGAUAUAUAUGACUAUUCACAUUAUCUCUUUUCUUUUAAGUGAGCCUUGUUAGUUUGUGUCUUGGAAAGAAUUGUUCUAUGCCAUAUAAGUUGUUAAAGCUAUGGGCAUAGAGUUGUUUGUAAUAUUCCCUUAUCUUCCUGUGAAAAGUCUGUGGGGUCUCUCAUAAUGUUCCAUCUUUUCUUUCUAAUAUUUGUAAUUUGUGUUUUUAUGCCAUUUUUCUUCAUCAGUCUCGGUAGAGAUCUAUUAAUUUUAUUGAUCUUUUACAAGAGACUUGUUUUAGUUUCUUUUUAAUAUGGUUUUUCACUUUCAUUGAAUUCUGCUCCUAUCUUUGUUGUGUACUUUAGAUUUCUAUUGGAUAGAACUGCACUGGAAUGUGCCUUGCAUACAAUAACACUCCAUAGAUAAGUGCUUCAUGAAUGAAUAUUUGAGUUAAGAUAUGAAAGAUACCUUUUUUUAGACCUUAAGUCUUGAGAUCAGUCCCAACUCCUUAACCAUCUAAUAUUUCCAGGCUUCCCUCAUCAAAGGUACUGCAUUUCUGUGGUGCACUAUUCUAAGCCUUACAAACUUACAGUCUUACCUGCUAUGUUUUACUGUUGCUUCUGGCCAAUAUCCAAAACUAAAACACUCUAAUGUUUCCCUUAGAAAAAUAUUUUACUAUUUAUCCUUUGUGUCUUUCUCACUCACACCUUGGGAUUUGGCUUUGGCAAUUGUUAAGGAAAUUAUAAAGUAGUAUAGAGACAUGUAAACAUUUCCAAGGAAAAAUAAUAGAGUGCGAGAUGGAAAAUUCUCCAUUCUGGUUAUCAACUAAUUUAUCAUUUUGCUUUUUCUAUUUACCCACAUUUAAAACAAUGAGGUAACCAGUGGAAUCUUUUUUUGUUUAUAAUCAAGGUAUAAUUUAAUACAGUGAAAUAAAUUAAGUGUACAGUGCAAUGAAUUGUAUAUACCUGUGUAACCCAUGUACCUAACUACACUUCAAUUAUUCCAGAGAGUUCUCUCUUGCCCCUUACUAAUCAAUCCCCGCUCCUUCAGUGAUAGCCCUUCUGAGGUUUUCCAACUUAUUUUGUCUUUGCCUGUUUCAGAUGCUCAUAUACAUGAAAUCAUAUAGUACAUAUUUUGUCUUGCUUCUUUUAUUUAGUAUAAUAUUUUGAGAUUCAUCCAUGCUGUUGCAUGUUUCAUUAGUUUUUUUUUAAUUGCUGAGUAGUAUUUUUAUGGUUAAAAUACAAUUUAGUUUAUCCAUUUUCUUGUUGAUGGGCAUCUGGGCUAUUUCUACUUUUGGGCUAGUAUGAAUAAGAUUGCUAUGAACAUUCUUAUACAAGGAGUUUUGCAGAUAUGCUUUCAUUUCUCUUGGAUACAUGUCAGAGUGGAAUUGUUAGGUCAUGGAGCAGAUGCAUGCUUAACUGUAUAAGAAACUGCCAGUCUUAGGCACAACUUUAAAUGUAUGACAGUUCCAGUUAUCCACAUCCUUGCCAACAUUUAGUGUUGUCAGUUUUCAAAUUUCAGCUAUUUUAGUGGUUCUGAAGUGAAAUCUCAUUAUAGUUUUACCUUGUAUUUCUCUAAUAGUGAGUGUGUUGAGCACUUGUAUUUAUUGGCUCUAUCUUCUUUCUUAAAGUGUCUAAGUCUUUUGCCCUUUUAAAAUUGGGUUGUUUUCAAAAUCAAUAUUGAGGUGUAGGAGUUCUUUAUAUAUUCUGGAUAUAAGCCCUUUGUUGGAUGUCUAAGAUGCCCACAUAUUUCCAUGGUCUGUCUUGCCUUAUUAUAUUCUUAAUGGUGCUUUUAAUAAGAUGUCUUUAAUUUUGAUGAAAUUUGAAUCUUUUUUUUAUUGUUACUGCUUUUUGUAUCUUGCCCCAAUUUUUGCCUACCCCAUGUUUUCAUAAUAUUCUUCUAUGGUUUAUACAUUAUAUUUUAAUUUUUACAUUUAAAUUUCCAUCUCGUAUUGAAUUUUGUUUAAGAUGUGAGGUUAAGGUUGAGAUACAUCAUGACAUGCAGUUUAUGUAUAUAACAAACCUGCACAUAUAUCGCUGAACCUGAAAUAAAACUUAAAGAAAUACAAAAAAUAAAAACAAUACAACAAAAAUAAUACAAAUAAAAAAUAAUAAAGCAUAGCAAGUAUUUACAUAGUAUUUUAUAUCAAUUUAGCUAUUACAAGUAAUCUAGAGAUGAUUUAACAUACAUAGGAGGAUGUGUGCAGGUUCUGUGCAAACAUUAAGUUGAGUGUCCUCGAAUUUUGUUAUCCUCAUGGAUCCUGGAACGAAUCACUUGAGCAUACCA